AUGUGAGUAGACUUUUUUGGAUUUAUGGGUAAGGGUGAUUAGAGUGAUUGAAUGAAGAUCUAAGGUGUUUGGUGUUAGGUCUAUAUGUUUCCUUGAUUACUGAGUGUGUUUAAUGCUGAAUUAGUCUUGAUCUCUCUAAUCUAGAUCUUUAGACAUUUCACGCUCGGAAGGUGUUUGAUGAAAUGUCUGAAUUAACUCAACUAUGCUAUUUUCUUGCUUAACCAAUGAGAAUUAAUUUUAAGAGUGCUUAGAUGGCUAGUAUACUUGUUCUUAAUAAUUGCAUGACUUAAUUAAACCAAUGAGAGUUGA
rnacentral:lncRNA from 1 species